rfam:Felis catus isolate Cinnamon breed Abyssinian chromosome F1, whole genome shotgun sequence.
GCCUGAGUGCCUCAGUCGGUUGAGGGUCCGACUUCGGCUCGGGUCAUGAUCUCACGGUUCGUGGGUUCGAGCCCCGCGUCAGGCU